rnacentral:rRNA from 1 species
GGCGUAGGGCGCGAGCGUUGUCCGGAUUUAUUGGGCGUAAAGAGCUCGUAGGCGGCUUGUCGCGUCGACUGUGAAAACCCGUGGCUCAACCAUGUGGUCUGCAGUCGAUACGGGCAGGCUAGAAUUCGGUAGGGGAGACUGGAAUUCCUGGUGUAGCGGUGAAAUGCGCAGAUAUCAGGAGGAACACCGGUGGCGAAGGCGGGUCUCUGGGCCGAUAUUGACGCUGAGGAGCGAAAGCGUGGGGAGCGAACAGG